UGUCACAAAUAAAGAGACUCAGGCUUGGAGACAUUAAGUGAUGCAUUCCAAGAUCACCUGUGGAAGCAACUGAGGAGGACCAGAAGCUUCCUUCCAUGCUGGGGUUUGGAACCCUCUUCCAAGGUAAUUCCUGGCCUGAGGAAAAGGAAGAAGCAUGUUCAUGCCCAUACUUCACCAAGACACCAGUUCCUGCCCAGAGCCUCAGGAAUACCCAGACACAAUUGAACUGAGCAACAUACGCAGGACAGGCUCACUGCUUACAUGGAUUUCACGUCAGAAGUUCUGAGAGAUCCAAUGCACCACGGGAGGAACACAAAGGCUGAAGUCUGGAGAGUGCCAAGCAGCCAUUACAGGAAUGUGGAGGUCCACUGCGCAGAGAGAGAAAACCUUGUUAACACAGGAGUGGCAUCCCCAGAAAGAGAAGCAGGCACCUACCCAGCCACACCCCCUAACUCCUCAAGAGGAUGGCAGCAUGCUCAGAGAGGUAAUGCUCAAGUCUUCUACUGUAGCAUCUGCUGCAAAUACAACCUGUCAAACGCACCAGAUUGCUGGAGAUGCCCCAAUCCCUUCCCACCAGAAUUCUCACCCUUUCCAUGCUACUGUCUGUGGUUGCCUGGGAGCACCUACAUUUUGUCUGCAUAGCAGACUCUGCUUCUUCUGGAAACUUUCCAAGAAUACUGCUACUUUCUUACAAGGACCCCCUCAAACCCCCUCCAAGCUGAGGCAGAGUGCUGUCCAGGAGUUUCAACAUGAGAGUUUUUUCUUUACAAUUGCUUAGCCUUCAGGUCAGAACGUAGAUCUGCUGUCUCUUAUAUUAUGUGGUUCAUUUCUCUCUCUCUCUCUCUCUCUCUCUCUCUCUCUCUCUCUCUCUCUCACACUCUCACACACACACACACACACACACACACACACACCCCUGAAGACAAAAUAGACCAGUUUUCCCCCCCACCUCAAUUUCAAUCCCAAAUAGCAUUUUGGGAAAUGGUUACACGCAUUUGCAGAAAACUUGCAAACAUUGGAAAAGUAAAGCUGAUGCUAUGCCCUUCAGGAUGAAGUUAGGCUCCUGCACCCCAUGGCUUAUUUCUCUCUUGUCACCAUUUUCAAAAUGUGAACUUAGAUGCCUGAAAAGACACUCCUUUAAAACAGAAGUGAUGGUGUAGUACCCAUUCACAACCUUUUUCUGAAAGACCAGCCUAACAGUCAACAUGUGGCGUACUUCUGUCACUGCCAGCCUGCCAACAUUUAAGAAAAGGGGGAACAGUCCCUACCUUUAUGUGCUCAUUAACCUAAGGGAAGAAGCCAGGCCCAGAAAUUUAGAUAGCAGCUUCUGGCUACCCAGGUUCAUCUGCAGGAGGGGACACACAAGAGGAAAUGGGUAGACAAUCAGACCCAACCAGACCUCCUGGGCCUCAACCAGAGCCCACAAGUCUGGAUAAGCUAUAGCUCUUGCCUAGUUUACCCCAUGCCCUGGUGGGGGGCGGAUUUGGAGGCUCAUGGUCACCUGACCAUGCCUACCAUAAUGCCUCCCCAAACAGGCCAGUUUUAGGCAGUUCUUAAGCCUCAGGAGAGAUUGUCAGUCAAGGUGAAAACACCCUGCAAGAUACUUGUCCAUGAUGAGAUCCAAUUCUGCAACCCAAAAGCAUCUGUGCUAAGGCAAAUUAACAAAAAGGUACCCAAGGGUGACUACAGGCAAAUUCAGUCUGCGGUUCACUUGGAACAGAAGCAUUGAGACAUCCACAGUGUGACCAAACACCAACCAAACCACCCUGUCACUUAACCCAGACCUUACAUUUCAUUUGCUCCUAUUUUGCCUUCUUGAUGCAACUCCUCCAGGCCCAGCACUGGGCCCAACUAUCUGCUGUCGAUAUCACAUUGGAGAAAUGAUUAAAUCAGCACCCACCCAGGGAUAUCAGCUCCAAUAUCCCAUCAACUGCUAAUAGGACCUUUAGGGCUCUCAGGGACAACCUCCUUAGUUAAUUUAAUCAAAGCCCAGCGAAGGCACAAGGGGCUUUCUGGGAAGGAGUCAGGAAGAUGUUUAAUGAGGAUGCAGAACAACCUGAGAUCAGGUCUCUGAGUGACAAUCAGCUCCUUGUGUCUAAGCUAUCCCACAUAGCACAGGGCUAUGCGACUGAAUGAGCCACAGAAUUAGUAAAGGAAGUGAAGACAGACGCUUUGCCUGCAACCAGCUAACCAAAUGCCAAAGAAACAAUGUGAGCCAAUCAGCCAAAAGGGUAAACUGUUCUUAUUUGAUAGACCUACACAAGAGUACCACAGGCUCCUUGAUGGCUUUCCCUCACAUCAGCAGCUCAGGUUGAAGUGGCCACAUCUUCCCUUCCAACGAGAACCAUCAAGUAAGUGGCUACUCAGUGAGUCCAUUGUGACUGGAGGUAUGGGUAGGGAACAGAAAACCAUGCUAUCUAUACUGAAGGUCCGGCCACCAGGGCCACCAGGACAUGGGAAACGACUGCCAGGCCACUGACUAGUGUCCUUGUAUGGGCCCCAGUCACAAGUGCCUGAGUCCUAUCAGUAACUCUCCAAAUGCUGGUGUUUGCAGAGUCAAGGCCAGCCACAACCAACCACCUACAAAAUCAAAUUGCAUACAGCACAGGAGUCACCCUGCAGUAACCAUGGAUGUGGCCUGGAGAAAGCAGCAUCCCACAUUCUGGCCUUAGCAAAUGAAAACAUAGAGUGUGUGUGUUCAGAAAUCUCAUGUUUUGUCACAAGAGCGGAAAAAUGGGGCCAAGGACAGAAGGUAGAGGUAGGACCCCUUAACCCCCAUCCUUUGGCAGUACUGGGGACGGAACCCUGGGCCUUGCAUAUGCUAGCUAGCAAGUGUUCUGCCACUGAGCCACACCCCAGCCUCAAGGCAGCAUUUGAACAGUAACUCCAGGGACCAUAGACGGGCAGGGAACUCAGCUCAAAGACCAUCUUCUCUGUCAGGGGUAAAAGGCCAGUCAAGAGUCAAAAAAGGAAAAACACUUCAUACCUCUUUCUCAGCUAGUUUAAGAGGAAGCACAGAAUUUUUCAUGGACAGUCUGAAUGUCUCUUCAAAACCCAAAGAGCUACAAAAUCCAAAACUUUCUGAGCACCAAAACAAGACUUAAAAAUUUUGAAUUUUGCAUCUUUUCAGAUUUCCAGGUGUUUCUGUUGUUGCAUUCAUGACAACCAAUAGACAAUAUAAAAUUCCAAAAUCUGAAAAACUCCCAAGAUAGAGAAACACUUCUAUUCUCAAGCAUUUUGGAUAAGGAAUACUCAACCUAUGCAACUUUCCUUCUAGCUUGGUUUAAAAUGUCCCAUAGAUGAAUCUGGUAUAAAGAUCUGGCCCAGGCAGGAAAGUGGACUACUUGCACUCCAUGUACCCACAGAUAUCUCACAGGUGACAUGGGAGGCAGCCAGUAGGUCGGCCAAAUUCCAAUCCCAGGUUGAUUCCUUCUAGCCCUAUGUCCACUGAACCUUUUUCCUUAUCAGUGCCUGCCUCCCAUUUUUAUAUUUUGAAUGCACAUGAAGUACUGAAUACUGCCAACACCUAGGACCUGCUCAGUUUGCAAAGAUAAGCCAUUUCCAGGCCAGCCUCAUUCACAUCGAGAUCAAUAAGCACAUGAGUAUACACAUGCUGUGGAAGUUCUAUACAUUUGGGGAGUAACUCUUGCUCCAUUAUUAAGAAGCCUGCAAUUCCAUGGAAAAUGAUAUUGACAAGACCUGUAGUCAAGCCAGGCAUGGCAGCACAUGCUAAUGGUAGUUUCAGCUACUUGGCUGAGGCAAAAGAUUGACUUAAGCCUAGGAGUUUCAGGCCAACCUGGGCAAUACAUGAGACCCCAUCUAUACACCUGCCUCUAGCAACACCAAUAAACAUCUGUUGUGUCAGGA